rnacentral:rRNA from 1 species
GACGAACGCUGGCGGCGUGCUUAACACAUGCAAGUCGAACGGAAAGGCCCUGCUUUUGUGGGGUGCUCGCGUGGCGAACGGGUGAGUAACACGUGAGUAACCUGCCCUUUACUUUGGGAUAACUUCAGGAAACUGCGGCUAAUACCGGAUAGGUGCUCCUGCUGCAUGGGGGGGGUUGGAAAGUUUAGGCGGUUGGGGAUGGACUCGCGGCUUACGAGCUUGUUGGUGGGGUAGUUGCUUACCAAGGCAUUGACGGGUAGCCGGCAUGAGAGGGUGACCGGCGUCAAUGGGACUGAGAUACGGCGCAGACUGCUACGGGAGGCAGCAGUGGGGAAUAUUGCACAAUGGGCGGAAGCCUGAUGAAGAAGCGUCGGGAGCGGGAUGACGGCCUUCGGGGUGUAAACCGCUUUCGCCUGUGACGAAGCGGGAGUGACGGUAAUGGGUAAAGAAGCACCGGCUAACUACGUG